rnacentral:rRNA from 1 species
GAAAUUCUAUAUGGUAGGAAGUGUCGUACCCCUCUCAACUGGUCUGAAACCGGUGAACGUCAGCUGCUGGGUAAUGACUUAAUCACAGGAGCAGAAGAAAUGUGCAAAGUCAUUCGUGAUAACCUCAAAGCAGCCCAAUCCCGCCAGAAGAGCUACUAUGAUAGUAAGCACCGUGAUUUGGCUUUCGAGAUCGGAGAUCAUGUUUACCUCCGUGUCUCUCCUAUGAAAGGUACUCGUCGCUUCGGUAUCGAAGGGAAGCUUGCCCCUAGAUACGUGGGACCUUUCAAGAUUGUCAGCAAGAGAGGCGACCUCGCCUAUCAACUCGAGCUUCCUUCAAACUUUGCAAACGUUCAUGAUGUGUUCCAUGUCUCUCAGCUUCGAAAGUGC